AGGAUGAACGCUAGCGGCAGGCCUAAUACAUGCAAGUCGAACGGGCAGUAGCAAUACUGUUAGUGGCGCACGGGUGCGUAACACGUAACUAACCUACCUAUAACUGGGGGAUAGCCCGCCGAAAGGCGGAUUAAUACCGCAUAAGGCUUGAGACUGGCAUUAGUUUUUAGUUAAAGAUUUAUUGGUUAUAGAUGGGGUUGCGGGUCAUUAGCUAGUUGGUUGGGUAACGGCUGACCAAGGCGACGAUGACUA
rnacentral:rRNA from 1 species